rnacentral:rRNA from 1 species
CGGGAGGCAGCAGUGGGGAAUAUUGCACAAUGGGGGAAACCCUGAUGCAGCAACGCCGCGUGGAGGAUGACACAUUUCGGUGUGUAAACUCCUUUUAUAUGGGAAGAUAAUGACGGUACUAUAUGAAUAAGCACCGGCUAACU